AUUCAACUGAACCUCAUCCCACCAGGACCUGUGAUGACAGGGGCUCAGGCAUCACCAGGGCAGGUCCUGUCUCCAGGACCAUGAGCAGGGAGGGCAUCACAUUGAGUGGGUUAACGUAGGCUGAGACCUGAGUCUGACCUUGUGCUCCCAUCUUUUUUUGUUUCUCAGUUUCUAUGGAGAAUUAUCCCUAUUCUUAUUAUUAAGUAUGAGUUCUGGUCUCAUUCUUCUUUGGGUGUCUCUCUUUGAGAGCAGCAGAAAUCCUUUCUCCUGUCAUUGUCCCACAAAACCCAGGGCAGUUUUCUGGAUUAUAUUUUCCAUCAUUUCUGCAGUAUUUUUAAAGGGACCAGAUAUGAGAGUCCCAGAGAAGAAGGAUCUUAUGAUUUCUCAUCCUAGAUAAAUUCCUCUUAGGUUUUCAUUUUCUCCAUCCAGCAGUUUCACUGUCCUUAACAAGAUUAAUUCUAGAACUUGCUCCAAAAAUAUGCAAAAAGCAGUAUAUAUCUGUCCAUGGUGGUUUUAUCAUGUCAUGGGAAAUUAAGGUUGGUCUUUUGUUUUACAAUAAAACAAAAAUCCAUAUCACCACAUUAACAGAAUGAUGGUGAAAAUCAUAAGUUCAUUCCAAAGGAUGUAGGAAAAGCAUUUUUUUUAAUUCAAUAUAAUGUCAAGUUAAAAUCUCUAGGGCUCUGAGUAUUGAAAAGAACAUUCUCAACAAGAUUAGGGAAAGUAAAAAAAUUCUACCAUUAGAAUUUGUUUCAGUGAUAAAAGGCUCAACACUUUCUUUUUGGGAUCAGCAACUGUGGGAGGCCAUCCUUGCACGUGAUUUGAGUUACCUCCCUGGCUGGGUGAGAGGCACUUAAACACAGCUGUGUCUGAGCCAUUCCCCACCCUUGCCCAGGUCUGAGUGUUUGUCCGUACAGAGGCAUGCCUGGCCACUGACCUGAAGACCCAAUCAUCGUCCUUGACCUUGGGAUGCUGCCCCCCUUAACCUUCAUUGGAUGGGAUUUUCCCUUGAAUUUUUUG
rnacentral:lncRNA from 1 species